CUGAAGAAGAUCAAUACUUUGACGGUGAGAGAUAUGAAAUAUCAAGUGACGAAAUCGAUGAAUGGCUAAGGGGAAACGUUGAUAAAUCUGCUGCGGAGGGGGAGAACCUAGCUGACCUGCGAUCGACAGAAGGUCGCUAUGUGUCCUCUGAAACGUUGAGUCCGACUGACUCGAAUAUGAUGGUUGUGAGGGAACAAACACCGUCGGAAGCGCUUGCAAU